rnacentral:rRNA from 1 species
UACGAAGGGUGCGAGCGUUAUUCGGAAUAACUGGGCGUAAAGAGCGUGUCGGCGGUUUGUUAAGUCAACUGUAAAAGAACUCGGCUUAACCGAGUAAAUGCGGGUGAAACUGGCAGACUAGAGUGCGGGAGAGAAAGGUAGAAUUCUCGGAGUAGCGGUAAAAUGCGUAGAUCUCGAGAGGAAUACCGGUUGCGAAGGCGGCCUUUUGGCCCGUAACUGACGCUUAAGCGCGAAAGCGUGGGGAGCAAACAGG